UACGAAAUUUACAAAUUUAUGAGAAACAUUAUGCGUUCAAUCAAUCUAAAUUCUCAAAAUUGCAACAAGUAAAAAUUGUUAGAAAAAUUUCUCCUCCGUUAGAGCUUCAAUUCAAGUCACAUCUAAAUUAGUCUAAUAGGUCAUAAAUUAUCAAUUAAUUGAAACACCGAAAAAAGAAAAUCUCCAAUUCCCUUAGAAAAAAAACCUGCUACUAAUAGAAUGAAAUUUAUAGUACUCCAUUGUAAGUUUGUAACCCUAUGAAAGAGGAAUGGACCUCCACCAAUUUCUCUCCUUAUGCCUCUCUCAACCUCCCAAAAAAUAAAAAUUAAUAUAUUUUUUAAAAAAUUAAAAAAACAGCAAAAAAUAAAAUGUAAAAUAAAAUCUGGAAAACGAAAAAAUAAUCUGAAAUUAGUGGGCUCCCCGUAAAAAAGCCGACACAAGAAACAAUUAUAAGACCCCUCCUUCUACCCCCAGCACAUGCUGCUCUGCCUCUUCAUUGACGCAUUUCAUCAAACACUUUGUGUGCUCUCUCUCUUUCUCUCUUUCCUCCAUUUUUUCUCUCUCUACAACCUCUCUCUCUAAUCCACUCUCUACCCUUUAUUUUUAAGGAGAGAGGGGGGCUGUAGAGAUCCCUGCAUUUUUUUUUUCUUGCACCAGAGAUAAUUAACCAAAGAUUAAUUUUUUUUUAAAGUUAGAAAAAAAAAAAGAGUUGAACAACAAUGGAGGUUUUAAAGGCUUCGUUCAUUGUAUUGGUUGUUUUCUCUCUCAUCUUUGCAAUGGCUCAGGCUCAAGCUGCGGGUCCCGCACCUGCUCCUACCAGUGACGGGACAAGUAUUGAUCAAGGGAUAGCAUACGCGUUGAUGCUGGUUGCCUUGGCGCUUACAUACCUCAUCCAUUGAACAAAAAAGUGCAACAAUGGGGGCAUCAUCAUCUGUAACAUCACCUUGAGCACUAAAAAUGACGAAAGUGCUUGUGAUUUUUGGUGUAUUUCUCUUUCAAAUGAUAAAAACGUGAGAGUGGGAUUAGUGUAACUAUUCCCAAUUUGUUUAAAGGAUGCUUAUAGAUAGUAUGAUUGAUUGUGAUUGACUAGGAGGUGUAUUUGAGCCCUUGUAGACAUGGUGGUGUAACAUCUAAUUUGUAUUAGAUGGGGUGAUUGUGAGUUCAUUUGCACAUAUAUUUAUCUCAUCUAAUGCAGCUAUGGCCUCUAACUCGUU